AGAGAGAGACAUGCGCGCAUAUCAAUAAGCGGAGGAAAAGAAACUAACAAGGAUUCCCUUAGUAACGGCGAGUGAAGCGGGAAGAGCUCAAAUUUGAAAUCUUCAAGGUUUUACCUUGACGAAUUGUAGUUUAAAGAAGUGUUUUCUGCUGAAGUUUUGGUAAAAGUUCCUUUGGAAUAGGACAUCAUAGAGGGUGAGAAUCCCGUAUUUGACCAUUAUUUUCAGCUUUGUGAUACACUUUCAAAGAGUCGGAUUGUUUGGGAAUGCAGUCCAAAAUGGGUGGUAAAUUUCAUCUAAAGCUAAAUAUUGGCGAGAGACCGAUAGCGAACAAGUACCGUGAGGGAAAGAUGAAAAGAACUUUGAAAAGAGAGUUAAACAGUACGUGAAAUUGUCAAAAGGGAAGCGUUUGACACCAGUGUUGUUUUCUCGAAAAUCAAUUAAAAAUGGCUCGAUUUUGUAUUGUUGAGACCUUAAAAGCUCACUGUACAUUUUUCGUGUCUUUUUUAAUGCACUUUUCGUUUAACAAGUCAACAUCAGUUUCUUUUGUUGUAAAAGGGUCAUUGGAAGGUGGCUUUCUUUUCGGAGAAAGUGUUUAUAGCCUUUGGCCUCUGCAAUCGGAGAGACUGAGGUCUGCAGCGUAGACUCUUCGGGGUUAGAUACAUUUGUGCUAAGUUAUAGCUUUUUAUAGACAACUUGUUGACUAUAAUUAGUCUUGUAGCUUACUCGCUUAUGCUAUUUUACCUACGCUUAGGAUGUUGAGUCGUAGAGCACGCAG
rnacentral:rRNA from 1 species